GGAAACAUUGGACAAAUGGGACAGUGUUGGAUUGUUGCCAUUAUGUGCAGCAAUCAUAGAGCAUUUACAACCUAUCUUCUAGAAGAGGAUGGCUGCCAUUGCCAUUGUCAAAGAGGGCUGCUAGGUGCAGCCACCUUUGUUGUAGAAGAGCUGGAGUUGGCAGCCACCUUUGUUGAAGAAGAGCUGGAGUUGGCAGCCACCAUUAUUGACCAAAGAACAAGUGGAGCAGCACCAUGGAUGCCUAUAAAUAGAGGCAUACGGUUGAGAGCAAAAUGAGAGAGUUGAGAGAGGGAAAGAAGAGCCAAAGAUGUGAGAAAUGUAGGAGAGAGUGGGCUGCCAAGGCAGCCAGCAGUAGCUGCCAUUGCAGCACUGAGAAGAGAGAAAUAGAGUGAGGUUGAGAGUUGCUAAAGAGAGGAUGAUUCCUCCUCCUCUAUUGUUGUAAAUCUUGUUCUCUCCCUAUAUAAUCAAAUGGCUUCUCCCGUGGAUGUAGGCGGUUUGCCGAACCACGUUAAAUAUUGUGUCAGUGUGCUUUACCUCCUAUAGGCAAAUAUCAGAACAUCACCGGUCGGAAUUCCCAACAAUUGGUAUCAGAGCACAUGGUUUAAAGGGGUGUUUGAUUUUUGCUCAAAAAUGAAAGUUGUCAAAAUUGUGUUUUGAUCAUACCACUUUGUAGAGGAGGCCGAGACGAAGCCAACGGUGAAAACGGCGUCAAAAUCGGACGUCGGACAUGGCCACACUCUCCAUCACUCUCCGGCAAGGCGUCUGCCCACGCGCGCAGACCCGCCCCACGCGUCUUCUUCGCCCGGAUGAGUUGACCCGACCCGAAUACCAGUUGACCCGACCCAUGUGGCUGACUCGGAUAAGGAUGACGUCAGCAUGAUGUAAAAGUGACGUCAUCAUGAACACUAGACAUGUGAGGGAUGACAUUAGCAUGAUGUAAUUGUGACAUCAUCAUGUACAGUAGCAUGGCCCAUGAUGACAUCAGCCUGAUGUAAUGGUGAAGUCAUCAUGCACAGUAGGCAUGCCAUGUCAGCAGCCACGUCAUAGACCAGUCAGCGUCCAGUCAACAGCCACGUCACCAAAGUGGGACCCACCUGCCACGUCACCAGACGCAAGCCGAACUGAGCCGAGCCGAGUUGAGCCGAGCCGAGCCAAAAAGGAGCCGAGCCGAGCCGCGAGCCAACGGAUAAGAUUCUGUGCAGCGGAGUCUACGUGCAACCGGAUCUGAGAUUGAAUCUGGGCCGUUCAUCAGGCCAGAAUUGUUUUGAUCAAAUCUUAGCCGUCUGAAAUGCGAUUUGGACGAUUUCAGACUUGUUUCCAGCUAAUUUGAUUGUUCCGGAUGCAAUGGUACGGUCCGAUCGUUGAGAUUUUAGACCAAAAAUGGCGGUGGUGAAUUAACAAAAGAGAUUGCCCGAUCAGGAGGCAUCUGAAGGGCAUUAUGGUGGUCGAUGGAGAUGAAGAAGAAGAAGAAGAAGAAGGUGCACAUGUUUACCCAAUUAUAUGUGCUGAACUGCUACGUGGGGAGAAUUUUAGUUGCCUUGAAGGAAGGCAAAAUUGGGACACUCUGGACACCCGAUCAUGUGGACGAUUUGAGGUGGAGAGUGGAAAUUGAUGAAGACAAAUCUUGACGAAUCUAAGAACUGGUAGUCUCGCCAGAUGUUGAGAAAUGAUGUAUCAAACCAGUAUAUUCCAGAUCACUUGUAAAGGAAAGCCGCAACAAAGCUAGCAAAUGGUUGUAUAUACGGAAAGACAGUACGAUGGAUAGAUAUGGCCUGAGAAGUUCUGUCUAGGAGAUUGGGUUUUAAGCGGGACCAGUGUGACCCCUCCAAUCUUUCCUGGGAACUUGCUUAGUGGAAGGAUUAUCCAUACGGUACUAUUUUCAUAUAUAUAGCAGUUUGUAAUGAAAUGGUUGAAGACUAGCAGGAUGACGGCACAAGGGAACAGUUGGGUUCCGUAUGUUCAAGGAUCUGAUGAAGUGGUGAUUUCUCCAAAGAAGUUAGAUUCAGUGACUGUGAUUUCUCGAGGGGAGAAUUGAUGAAAACCCUGAUAAUGGAAGAGAAAUACAGCAAGAGGAUAAAGAUUGGCACCCUAUUUUGACUUGGAUAGAUGUGGUGACAGGAUGAGCUGCUGUCAAACAUAAGCAAGGAAUAGGGAAAAAAUCUGGAGAACCGAAAUUGCACGAGAGCACACGGAGAUUGUGCAGGAGUACCCGUAGGAUCCAACGAGGUAUUGUAAUGAGACGAUAGGUGCAAGGAGAAGAAGAGUUCCCAGAUGAAGCUCAGAGCAGAGACUGUGUGAAAAAGUUGUACAACAGGAAGUCUCUUUGUGCUCUUGAUAAAGGCAACAAGCGAGGACCUUUCCAAUGCAUGCAAGGAUGGAAAGAUGAGCUGUUGCAGAAGCACCUAAUUAAGGGGGUGCGACCGCCGAUAAAAGGCGAAGACACCAAAGAGAGUUGGUGUGGGUGGAGCUAUCAAGCAGAAAGACAUAGAAGCUCCAAACAUAGAAAAUGAGAUGGAGGAUUGCGAAGAGUGCACCGCAACUCUCUCUUUCUAUGUGAUCAGUGGCAGUGAUCUCUCCCAAGUCCACAUGGUGGUAGAGAAUCUUGGAGCUACUGGAGACAUCCCCGAUGAAGGAGGAUGUGACCGCUUCAUGACGACAGGCGGAGACACCUCGGAUGGAAGGUGUGAGGACCAUGAUAUGAGUCCAUGUUCAGACCGUCUCAUGACGACAGGCGGAGACACCUCAGGAGAAGGUGUGAGGGCCAUGAUAGGAGCCCAAUUUCAGAACGCCCUAGAGCCAAUGUGAUGGCUAGAUAUAAGUGGACAAGUGUAUAGCCAAUGAAGAGGCUAUGAUGAGUAUGGAGACAAUGCAGGAUUGGAUGGAAGGUGUGAGGACCAUGAUAUGAGUCCAUGUUCAGACCGUCUCAUGACGACAGGCGGAGACACCUCAGGAGAAGGUGUGAGGGCCAUGAUAGGAGCCCAAUUUCAGAACGCCCUAGAGCCAAUGUGAUGGCUAGAUAUAAGUGGACAAGUGUAUAGCCAAUGAAGAGGCUAUGAUGAGUAUGGAGACAAAUGCAGGAUUGACUUUCAUGGAUAUUGCCCCCAUGCUAAAGAUCAAUGAGCUAGAAGACAUUUGCCUUGGACAAUAAGUGGAUGACUUGUGGAGCAUUAAGACGCGACUGCUAUGAAGGAGCAGAGGGCAUGCGCAGGUUCCGGGAACAAGUUGACUCUUGUCAAGGUGGUGAGCUCAGUAAUGACAUUGUAAUACUCAGAGUAUGAAGAUAGAGAUGGAUCAACCUUUAAUGGGCUGUCCCCAUGGUUAAAAGGGAGAGCUACCUGGACUCUUGAGACUAAGAGUGGGAGACUCACGGAGAAGUAAGGCGUGGUUCCUAGGGAGGAACAGAGGGCAGACGCAACUCCAGGAUGAGUAGACUCUUGGAAGAGUGGUGAGCUCGUGAUCAUAUUGAAAUACUCAAUGACUGUCGCACUUGGAAAUAUCCGUUUGAGGGGGUGUUGUAAGCCUUGGUGUAAGGCUUGAUAAAUCAUUCCGGGCCAAGCAUGGUUGAUAUGCUUGAAGGGAAUGUUGUUCCAGAGACAAGUGUUAACACUCUUCAGAUGAGAUGUGACAAACCAUCUAGUUGAAGUGAUCCUUUGGAGUGAGCAAAGGGGUGCUUGGGUGACUCUGUGAUUGAAAGGUUUGGUAAGUACCUGGAAACUUGGCCAAAGACGCUCUCGGAAUGGUAAGCUUGGAAGAGCUGCAGAAUGCAAGCAUGUGCUGAAGAAGCAAGAGGACAAUUGCCCACAUGAAUGGCAAAGGGGGUGAUUGUUGGAUUGUUGCCAUUAUGUGCAGCAAUCAUAGAGCAUUUACAACCUAUCUUCUAGAAGAGGAUGGCUGCCAUUGCCAUUGUCAAAGAGGGCUGCUAGGUGCAGCCACCUUUGUUGUAGAAGAGCUGGAGUUGGCAGCCACCUUUGUUGAAGAAGAGCUGGAGUUGGCAGCCACCAUUAUUGACCAAAGAACAAGUGGAGCAGCACCAUGGAUGCCUAUAAAUAGAGGCAUACGGUUGAGAGCAAAAUGAGAGAGUUGAGAGAGGGAAAGAAGAGCCAAAGAUGUGAGAAAUGUAGGAGAGAGUGGGCUGCCAAGGCAGCCAGCAGUAGCUGCCAUUGCAGCACUGAGAAGAGAGAAAUAGAGUGAGGUUGAGAGUUGCUAAAGAGAGGAUGAUUCCUCCUCCUCUAUUGUUGUAAAUCUUGUUCUCUCCCUAUAUAAUCAAAUGGCUUCUCCCGUGUUGGGUAUACGACCAAAGUCCCACAUUGGCUAGAAAUGGGGAGGAUCAUGGGUAUAUAAGGAUGGACAAAUAUCUCUAUUGGUAUGAGGCCUUUUGGGUAUAGCCCAAGAGCAAAUCCAUGAGGGCUUAGGCCCAAAGUGGACAAUAUCAUACC
rnacentral:lncRNA from 1 species